rnacentral:rRNA from 1 species
UACAGAGGUCUCAAGCGUUGUUCGGAUUCAUUGGGCGUAAAGGGCGCGUAGGCGGCAAGGCAAGUCGGGUGUGAAAGCUUGGGGCUUAACCCCGAAAGGGCACUCGAAACUGCCCUGCUAGAGGGCCGGAGAGGAGAUCGGAAUUCACGGUGUAGCAGUGAAAUGCGUAGAGCUCGUGAGGAAGACCGGUGGCGAAGGCGGCCAUCUGGACGGAUACUGACGCUGAGACGCGAAAGCGUGGGGAGCAAACAGG